UUUAUUUUGUGUGUCCACACCUGCUGUGCACAGUAGACAAUAGUCCCAAACCUUAAACAGUUAGAUCUGUCUAGCAACAACGUUUGCACAAGAUAUAUUAAUUUUGGUUGGUGUUUGUUUUUAAUAUAUCAAAUUUCAUGACAGCUGAUUGGAGUUGGUUUUAAAGGUCUCCUCCUCUAUAGAGGGUAAAUCUGUAGUCUGAGAUUUAUUUCACUUCGGUGGAAGGAAGAGCUCUGGAUCACAUGCAGCAGACUAUAGAAGAUUUGAUCAGAUUUUCAAAAUGAGAAAACUAUACAGGACAACAUCAACCUUAGUUUGAAUGCAGUAAAAAUAGCAAGGUCUGUAAAUAAAGAAAAGAAGUGUUUAAGAUCAUUCCAAAUUUGCCCACUCUUUUUAAGUCUUUUGUGGUUUUUGUAUAAGAUUUAUUUGAGUUAAAAAAAUAAACAAAUCGGUGCAUGGUUGUUGUUUUGUGAUUUAUUUAAUAGAGUAAGUCUGUGUGAAUAAUUGUGUGUGUUUGUGUAAAACAAACAGCCAGCAGAAGGACCAGGAAAACUUAAGCUCAAUGAAAAUUCAGUUUUGUAUGGAAAUGCAGAUGUAACUUGGUCUGUCGCAUAUUCAGCAGUUUGCAGUAACAUGAAGACUUCAGAACAGAAAUAACUCAAAGUCCUGUUGUGUUUACCGCAUUGAUGCCAAGCUUGAAUGGCUACUUCACUGAGCAAGGAUAAAAUGUUUCACAGACGAAUCCUCUGGAAGGAAAACUUUUUUUCACACACGGGCUGCUCCUUGAGAGGAACGACAAUAUGUUUUUGAACGCUGCGCCCGAAAGAUGCCCCGUCUCUCGCUGAUCUAUCAACUGACAAAAUGAUUUCGGACACGCCUCUGAGACUGCUUUACUCUCACGGAUUCGGAGUCGCACACACAGGACUGUUGUAUCACAGGCAGCGCGACGGAAAGACUUCAUCAACUGCUGGAAAAGAUGAACAAAUGUGGCGGAGCAUUAGAGGGAGAGCGUCUCAAACAGGCUUUAACACUUUAACUCUUCUGAGGCAGCGCAACGCAGAAUGAACAACAAAACAGAGAGCGUUAACCAAGCGAAUCAUGAAUUAACAGGUGUAUCUCCAAUUGAAAAAAAGUUCAAAAACUUACAUUUAUAGCCUACACAAACUGACGGCAAACAUCAGCCUAUCUAUUUCUUAUCAUUAGAUUCGGACGUGCCUCAAUGCCUUAUAGGCAGCAUUUCAGGUUUUCCAACGAAGCCGUGUUGCUUUCCAGAAGCGUCCCAGACAAGGAGAGCGGUGUGUGGAUGGAUGGGCACCGUCCAUGCUAAAGGAGAAGCCUCCGAAAUUUGACGGUUUUGCCCUGCGUUGAUGUAGAUCGUUCGGUUAUGUCUUCUGGCGUGGACGGAGCAAAGUGUGGGAGUCAGUGUGGACCUCAUCAAAAGUAUAAGUCUGGUUCGAUCAGCUGGGCAUUUAGGCUACACAAGACUGGACAUCAAUACCCUGCUUUAAAUUUAAUUGCGAUUAAAAACUUAUUAUCAUUCGGCGGCAUUGCAAAUUAAGCUGUUCAUGAAACAUAGCCUACAACAAUAUUCACAAUAUCAAAAAUUAAUCGCUCUCCUAUGCAACAGAGCCUUCCAGCAUGCCGCAAUUUUACCGCCCGCAAAACAUAGGCUUGUCCCGCAACGCAUAAUAAAGCACUUUGAUCGCCUAUUUAACCAAAGUGACAGCAGCUGGAUUUCUAUAACUUACCUACCGAGAAGAGAGAGGAUCAUCAAACGUCAGCUUUUUCUCCAAUGCCUGAAGAAACAAUAUUUUACACCAUGCCCAACUGCAAUGGCAAUAUUACAAUAAACAACUACGUGAUAAAUGUGAUGAAUGAUGAGCGUGCUCAAGUACAGUGCAACGUCUUCAACUGGGUUCCUGCUCAGAACAGCCUCAGCGCUAUCUUCAGCGGGCUUCAGCGUGUUUGGGAACAGCUCCGGAGACGCUGGAUGUCCUGAUGUGAUGGAACAGCAACAGUGAACCAUUGACACUUUUGGUAGACGACAAGAUUAGAGCUAUUUCACCAGCAUCUCAUCCAGCAUACAAGAUAAAAAAUGAACGGAACAAAGACGUGGCAGCACAGACAUUUUCUUCCAAUAUCCACCCUGAUUCUGAUGACGGAACCAGACACCGAAGUCUGCACGUUUGACCUGACAGACAAUCUACAUACCUGAGGAACCACAGACCCACAUAUUUCAUAACUUCUGUUCUGGACUUUCAUAACUUCUUCCUGGACACUGCUCUCAUGUAAAGCAACAUUUGUUAAUUCCACUAUCUAUUAACUGUCCAGCGCUGAGAUGAUUUAUUGCCAAUCAUGUGUCAUUCUUUAAUAAAAGAUCUUUAAAGCAUGCA